UACAGAGGUCCCGAGCGUUGUUCGGAUUCACUGGGCGUAAAGGGUGCGUAGGUGGCUUGACAAGUUUGAUGUGAAAUCUCCGGGCUUAACCCGGAAAAUGCAUUGAAUACUGUAGAGGCUUGAGGUUUGGAGGGGGGAUUGGAAUUCUCGGUGUAGCAGUGAAAUGCGUAGAUAUCGAGAGGAACGCCAGUGGCGAAGGCGAGUCCCUGGACAACACCUGACACUGAGGCACGAAAGCCGGGGGAGCAAACAGG
rnacentral:rRNA from 1 species